GCCUGUGUGGCUCAGUUGGUUGAGCAUCCGACUUCGGCUCAGGUCAUGAUCUCGCAGUUUGUGGGUUCGAGCCCCACAUCGGGCU
rnacentral:tRNA from 1 species